UAGGGGGUGUGCAGGAGGCAGCUGAUCGAUGUUUCUCUCUCAUUGAUAUUUCUAACUCUCUAUCCCUCUCCCUUCCUCUCUGUAAAAAAAUCAAUAAAAAUAUAUUUUUAAUAAAAAAAUAGGUCAUUAUUAAGUUGAAUUAAAAUCUUGAAAAGUAUAUAUAGAUACUUUUCCCUUAAGAGGUGGAUUAUGAUUUUACAAACCUGAGUAAUGAAAAUUUCAAGUAUUCCGUGUUCUGAAACAAUCCUGUGUAAGAUCUUUGUAAAAACACAAAGAUUCGUUUAUUUCUCACCAUCUGAAAUGGCAUGGAUUUCAAGUAAGUUCCUAAUCAACAUUUAUUAGAUGUUGUAAUUAUAUAUCACAGGCUGGGUUUGUCAUUGCAAUCAGAAUCAUUUUUAGGUGAUUAAUUAUUUUAUGAAGAAAAAAAAAGCCAUGAUGGGCAUCGUUCCCAUUGUAUUUCAGGAAUCUAUGAGAGGACAAAUGUAUGUACUGAAUUGAGCUGAGUCGAAACUGAGCUUGCAAAAAGAAAACAGGUUGAUGACUGAAUUUUAAAUAUUCGCUGCGAUGUUCUAGGUCUGGGAUUAGCACUGUGAUUCAGACAAUUAGAGCCCAAAGCUUUUCAAGAUUUAAAAGGAUUUUUAAAUGUUUUUUUCUAUAGACCUAUUACUGGGAGGUUUUUUUCCAACCUCUUAGAAAUGUUAAUUUCUUAAAAAGAUAAAUGAUUUGUCAGAAAUGAGCAGCCAGUUUUGACAGCAGACAAUUUAUUUGCCUACUUGCAUUAUUCAGUGCAAGCGAUAAAGUUUUGCACAGUUGCAAUUGGUCGUGGUAACAAUAGGAAACAAAAAUGUUAAAAUUACAAAAUCUAAAAUGAUUUUAUCAUUCAUCUCAAUUGCGCUGCCACAAUGUACUUAUUCUAAUGCAUUAACUACUUUAAAAUAAAUCAGUGAUUUUAAGUAUUUUUAAUCUAUGGUACUUAAAACUAUUCCCAGUAUUUUUUUUUAUUAGUUUGGAGUCCAGAUUGAGCCUUUUUCCAUCUCAGUCCUAAAUACUUUUCAAAUCUGUGUUCAUCCGUCCAGCCCUACUACAUGCCAGUGGCUGCCUCUGCUUGCAGUACAGUUGUCUUCUGAUUCCCCCCGUCUUCCCUUUUGUCCUUCCAAGUUCACUUGUCACUCAGCUCGCGGCCGCUGGGAUUUACAUGAGGUGGAGAGUCACCAUCUCUCUCCUCUGCUUGAAGCGUGUUUGUGGGUCCACAUCGCUGACAGUGAUUCGCGAGCGUGAGAGCACAUGUAGAGGAAAGCCCUGCCCUCCAGGUCGAGAGCCAUGGUCGGAGUUAAAGGAUGACAGCGUACGUAACGGCUUCUGGAUUAAGAUGACAGAGUGGACAUAUGUAUCCAAUUACAUUCCUUCCUGAAACCCCACUCAGAUGCUAAUACAGGAAUUUUUAAGAGCAUAAACCCACAAAGCAGGGAGGAGAGGAUUGGAGGCCACAGCAACACAAUCCCGGAAAUUCAAAGCAGAAGAUAAGAGUCCUAGAAAGAGAGAGAAAAAUGGAAGGGUACAAAUCAUCAAUGAAAAUUAUUCCAUAAAAUUUCCCAGCAUCGAAGGACAUGAGUUUCUAGCAUGAAAAGGGCCCACAAUGCCCAGAGAAGAUUCUACAAGAUUCCAGAGGGAGAAAAUCAAGUUACAUGAAAAUGAUCAAGAAUGGUUUUGGCCCUAACUGGUUUGGCUCAGUGGAUAGAGCAUCGGCCUGCAGCCUAUGGACUGAAGGGUCCCAGGUUCGAUUCCGGUCAAGGGCAUGGACCUUGGUUGCGGGCACAUCCCCAGUAGGGGA